rnacentral:rRNA from 1 species
GCAGCGACGCCGCGUGAGGGAUGACGGCCUUCGGGUUGUAAACCUCUUUCACCAGGGACGAAGCGUGAGUGACGGUACCUGGAGAAGAAGCACCGGCCAACUACGUGCCAGCAGCCGCGGUAAUACGUAGGGUGCGAGCGUUGUCCGGAAUUACUGGGCGUAAAGAGCUCGUAGGCGGUUUGUCGCGUCGUCUGUGAAAUUCUGCAACUCAAUUGCAGGCGUGCAGGCGAUACGGGCAGACUUGAGUACUACAGGGGAGACUGGAAUUCCUGGUGUAGCGGUGAAAUGCGCAGAUAUCAGGAGGAACACCGGUGGCGAAGGCGGGUCUCUGGGUAGUAACUGACGCUGAGGAGCGAAAGCGUGGGUAGCGAACAGGAUUAGAUACCCUGGUAGUCCACGCCGUAAACGGUGGGUACUAGGUGUGGGUUCCUUUUCACGGGAUCCGUGCCGUAGCUAACGCAUUAAGUACCCCGCCUGGGGAGUACGGCCGCAAGGCUAAAACUCAAAGGAAUUGACGGGGGCCCGCACAAGCGGCGGAGCAUGUGGAUUAAUUCGAUGCAACGCGAAGAACCUUACCUGGGUUUGACAUACACCAGACGCGGCUAGAGA